UUCUGAUCGCAGCACUUCCCUCAAUUGGGAACAGGUACGCGGACGACAGAGAGAAGUUGGUCGUAAUCCAACACACUUUCCAGUUUAAAUAAGAAACUGGCCAGAUACUUGGAGUGGAUAAGCAGAAAUCGGUGGCCUCGAGGUAAGUUUAGAGUCGGGACAGGAUCGAUCGACUUCGUUCCAACAGUGCAGGCUAGGCAAAGGUUGUCGGACACCCCGUAUAUGUACGGCCACAUACCAAGACGGGCUACUCGGUAGCUGCGUGAGAUACAAGGGGUUGUAUAUCAAGGAGCCACGCCUAACACGAGAACCACUUCCGGUCUAGACACGCGAGCUUGCUUGCCUGCCAACCCAGCCCCAGCCUUGAGCGUCCAAUCGGUUCUCUAAAUACGUCGGCAUUUACAACCUCCUCCUAUCCAACCUAUUCCUACGACCUGGCUCAGAAUUGAGUUUUCUCUGCCGCCGGGAAAGCAGAACGCGAUCCAACUCACGCUCGUGCUGAUAUCUUUACGUGACUACGCGCCGAUUGAAAUCUUGCGGAGCAACAACAACACUCGACGUAGGAUUGGUCGCGAUGGGUAACGCUCUUGGCGAGGAGACCUAUGCACGUUCAGAACGUGUCAGAGGUUUGUUUGAUUUGUUCUGAACUCGCGAGAUUCGAUUCGGUUGGUUGCGCAGUUGAAUUACUUGCGGAGAAAGCGCGGAAACGAGUGCAGUGAUCGAUUAAGUUUAACUCGUGACUGCUUAGGUGAAGUCGUUUAACUUUCAGCAAUUUUCACUUCUCUAGUGAUGUGCGAAGUAUUCGUGUUGUGAGUGAUCCUUCGUAUUCCUUUACUAUAUCUAUUAAAUGAUAGUUUGGCUGAUUUUUAAAGCAGGAAUUAAGUACAUCUUAUAGUAGUAUCUUGUGUGUGUAACUAGCUAACAAAGUUGCUCAGAAUUUUAAUAACUACUUGUGAUGAUUCUGACAAAUGUACGUAGAAUGGAAAGAAAUAUAUGCCAACAACAAGAAGCUUUUCAAAAUGGGAGAAAACGUAUAAAGAAAUUAUUUCCAGACGUACUAAGUAAAUCGAAAACGUUCUGAUAUGUAGAACCGAACUGCUUAAAAUUUUAGUAACGAUUUCUUUACUUCCAAUUGAUGCAUAAAUGCAUAAACUGAAUUACUAUCGAUGAUAAAAAUAUAUCUUCUUUUAAGACGCCAACGAACCUUCCCAGAACUAUGUAUUUCUAUCAAAAAACUUCAUCCGAAAAUAGAAAAUUGUAUUCUUGAAAUUUCAACAGAAGUAUAAAUAACAAGUGAAAGAAUUAGAAAGAGAAAUAACCGAUGAUACUUGGAGAAUACAAAAGGAUUAUUGCUCGACUAUCCUACCCAUCCUUGCGCACUACUAAACCACGUAAGAUGGAAAAGCAACCCAGUCUCCGGGGAGCUCUUUUAUGGACUUUGCUGCGACUGAUGCUUUCCAAAUAGUUUGGAUAGCAAUCCAAACCAAUAGCAUAGGACAGAAUAGAAUGAGGGUCAGAGCCGCGUUCAAAAUGGAGCUUGUUUGGAAAAUUCAUUGAUCAAUUUCUACAGAAAUUUUAUUCUGCUUUUACUGGUGAUUGCUACUACGGGAAAAUAUUUUUAAAACGCAUUAAUAGCGUUUGAAUAUUCCGGCAGUUUCAUCUGGAUUAUCGAUUUUAUUUAAAUUAGCUUCUACUUCAAAAUUAAGCUGGGAAGGUAAACUGAUACGCAUUGGAAUUACAAAAUUAUGUACAUAAUACUUUGAAUUCGUUCUAUCAAAUAAACAUAUAUCGUAGUUAUAACGUUGCUAUAAUCACAUAACAAUAAGAGAGCAUUUAGAGAGUAAGACAAAAUAUUUGUAUUAUUGUAAUCAAAUUAUUAUAACAUGCUAAAAGCUAUCAAUUAUUGCAACAUUUCAAAAUUAAAAUUAAAAAUUAAAAUUUCCAAAGCUUUCGAAAUAUUGCUAAAGAACAAAAAUUUACAUGAAUGUAUGAAAUAAAUGAUUAAAUUAAUACUGAUGAUGAAUUUGCUACGCAAGCAUCAGCAAUGAACUCAAAGAAUUAAAAAAGAUUGUCCAAGUUAUAGGCCGAGUAUCGACUAAUCGGCUAAUUUGCAACUAACCACGUCAGAUGGCCAUAAAUUCACAGGAACGAGAAACAGAAAAUAUUCAAAAAGCUGUACAACAUCGAAAAUAAAAUAUCAUGAUAAAUAUCAAGUAUCAUCAAAUAUAAACGCCAUGAAAUAGAUCAGUCAAUCUACUAUUAUGCACCACGUACAACAAAAUUAAUUACGAUCAUCGUAUCAUUAUGAGGAAUAACAACUAUCAUAAUUAGAUAUAAUAAGGAGGUACGUAACAUCUUGCUCGAGACAUAAGAAAAAGAAGACAACUUUUGCUACGUUAAUGGCUAGAAAAGAAAACUGUUACACGAACAUCUUGUCUUCUCUUAAAGAAAUAAAUCUACUUCAUUCGCUUCGAAUUAAUAAUCCAAAAUCACUAUGAACCAACUUAUCCACUUCUAAGCCUUUUAAAUGGAAGUAAUUUUAAAUAAAUAAAUAACGAAUAAAUAGCAGAUUUGCAUACUGAGUGAUCAGAAAAUUGGGCCAAACAUAUCUCGGCGAAAUAAAAUAAAAUUUCACAUCAAGCCGUUACGAUAACUUCGAAAGUAUGUAAAAGAUACCUACCUAUUAAAAUAGCAACAUUCUACUUACAUAGUUUGAAAAUCUGGAGACAUGUUGACAUACUUUUGCACCGCGAGUAAUCACUUUUCACCGACGAAAAUGGAAAAGAUCGGCAUAGUUUGCCGUGUAAUCUAUUCAUCGGUUUAACACUGAUACACAUAGGUAUGUACAUAGACCAAGCUAUAGCGGACAACGCAGCACGAUCGGACGCGUAGAGGAUCAGAGUCGAAAUAAUCCGACGCAUGUUUGUCGAGAAGAAUGCAAUUAUGGGCCGAUACAAUGGCCAAACUGACGUUCCUCUGAAAAUUGUUGUCGAUAUAAUCACAUAACGUCUACCGAUGCGUCCGAUGGCGCGACAUUCCUUUCGAAACCGAAAGUUUUCACCAAAAUACGAAUGAAUAAUAACCGAUUCAUUAAAAAGUAUGAGCGCAAAAUAUCGUUGAAAUUUGCGCUAAAUUCGAUUUAAAGGUGAAACAGUUUGUACCGUUUACGCGAAACAAAAAUUUCGACAAAUGACGAGUAAUUCCUAUAUGAAACGUAUUGACGAAGGAAAGGUUUAAACGAUUAUCUUGUUAGAAGAUAUUAAAGAGAAGAGCAAUUUAAUAUCGCUGCUCUUCUUAUCUUGUUUAUUCAUAGGUCGUAGUUUACGGUACUUUAUUACAAAACACUAUUUAAUGCAUCAGAAAGUUAUAAUAUACAAUAUGAGUAAAAUAUUUUGUAAAGUGUUAUCGUUGCAUUCGACAUUGCUAUUAUUCUGAAAGUUGAUUUCGAUUAUUCUUCUUCAGCAUUGUACAACAAAUCAUCGGUAUCUGUAUCUUAAUACCAUUAGCCAUACAUGGAGAAAUAACUUCAUUGUUUCGAUUAUUAAUGAAAUUUAAGCCGAUGGGAAAGAAAAGUAUACUAUUUGUAAGAAAAUAUUAAGAACCAAAAUCCAAUAAAUUUGCGUGAAUCUAGUUCUCGUUUUCCUUUUCCGAAACCACAGUCGACAACAUAAUCAACGACGAGAUAUAGCAAACUCGAUCGAACACACCUAACAAAUCUUAUCUAGACCCUACCUGUACAUAAAUCCAUUAGAAAUGAAAUCCAUCGUAAAGCACGUACAUACCGAUACACAAAUUACCUGACCGUGAACACGUGAGUCAUCCGACAUGAAACUAAUUCUAUGAGAAAGAUUCCGCAAAUACAAGGGACCCAUUAAAGCCUUGUCCCUAAAUUACGUUUCAUCUGACGGUGUCCAAAGUGGACUCGACCGCGUACCGACCGACCCGGAAGUUAAGAGGCCGCAAUUAAGCGUCGGUCAAUCGAUGAAAUUAUCCUUUUAAAGCGGCGCGAAUCGUUGCAGCUUAGCAGUGCGAUCGAACCCGUUGAAACGGAAUUACAGAGAGCGUGGUGGUGAGGUCGCGUGUCGUGAGAUAGGCCAGGAACCCUUGUGGCGUCCGGCCGCCAUUGGUUCUCCGCAGUGGCUUGUGGGGGUGGCCACCCUUAAAACGUCAAGAAGCCCAGGUGGUCCGGCACGAUAUCGCGCUAACUCAAUCAAUGCGCUAUUCCUUCCUCGGUAUCAGAGAUUCGUAUCUGACGUCACUUUCUCGGCCUUCGGGGGCUCGAAUCGUGU